CCAGGGUUCCAGUUCUGACUUCUUGUGCCUUUACGUGGUUUUCCCUUCUUUCCAUGCUUAACAGGAUGAAGAUCGCCCGGCUGAUAUGAAAACACGCACCCAUCAUCCCAUUACAUUUUUUUCUGUGUGGACUGGAAAUGACUGGAGGAUUUUCACGCAGGUUAAAAUCCAUGGCAAGGACUGGAGGGCAGCAGGCAAGAGAAAGAGACAAGGUGGCUGGAAUUGGAAGCUUACAUCCUGAAGUGCAAGCAGAAAGCAGAAAGUAAACUGCAUGUGGUAAAGACACUUCAUCUCAAAACCUGGCCCUCAUGAUGUACUUCAUCUAAGCUGUACCUCAGCCUCCCCAGACUGGCAUCAUCAACCAGGGACCAAGUGUUCCAGUGCCCAAAAUUAUGUGAAACCUUCCUUUUAAAGUCAUCAGACCAUCCAAAAAGAGCUGGUUCUCAAGAGAGGACAACCGAAGAAUACAAAAAAAAAAAAUACAGCAAGACAAGGCAAAAGGCCUCAUACUGAGACUGGACAAGAUAACCCAAUAAGAGGGAAAGAGUCCCAAGAGCAGAAAAAAAGGAGUCCUGGGCAGAAUGAAUGAAGAAGGGAGCUGACCGGCAAGAAUCCAUCAUUCUCUGUGUCUAGGUAUGACCACGUGCUGCAAGCUCCUGCCGUUGUGACGUCCUUGCCAUGAAGAACCAGAUCCUUUCUUGCUGAGUUUAGUCAUAAAGCAAGGAAGUGUCAUGGUGAGUCUAUACCUAUUUAAAAAUAAAAGGCGUAGUUUCCAAA